rnacentral:tRNA from 1 species
GGUGGUUAGCUCAGCUGGGAGAGCAUCUGCCUUACAAGCAGAGGGUCGGCGGUUCGAUCCCGUCACCACCCACCA